GAUGAACGCUGGCGGCGUGCUUAACACAUGCAAGUCGAACGGUGAAGCAGAGCUUGCUCUGUGGAUCAGUGGCGAACGGGUGAGUAACACGUGAGCAACCUGCCCCUGACUCUGGGAUAAGCGCUGGAAACGGCGUCUAAUACUGGAUAUGAGCUGCGACCGCAUGGUCAGCAGUUGGAAAGAUUUUUCGGUCUGGGAUGGGCUCACGGCCCAUCAGCUUGUUGGUGAGGUAAUGGCUCACCAAGGCGUCGACGGGUAGCCGGCCUGAGAGGGUGACCGGCCACACUGGGACUGAGACACGGCCCAGACUCCUACGGGAGGCAGCAGUGGGGAAUAUUGCACAAUGGGCGAAAGCCUGAUGCAGCAACGCCGCGUGAGGGAUGACGGCCUUCGGGUUGUAAACCUCUUUUAGCAGGGAAGAAGCGAAAGUGACGGUACCUGCAGAAAAAGCGCCGGCUAACUACGUG
rnacentral:rRNA from 1 species